rnacentral:rRNA from 1 species
UACGUAGGGUGCAAGCGUUGUCCGGAAUUAUUGGGCGUAAAGAGCUCGUAGGCGGUUUGUCGCGUCUGCUGUGAAAGUCGGGGGCUCAACCCUCGAAUGCCGGUGGAUACUGUCGGGCUAGAGUGCGGAAGAGGCGAGUGGAAUUCCUGGUGUAGCGGUGAAAUGCGCAGAUAUCAGGAGGAACACCGAUUGCGAAGGCAGCUCGCUGGGACGUAACUGACGCUGAGACGCGAAAGCGUGGGGAGCAAACAGG